GACGAACGCUGGCGGCGUGCUUAACACAUGCAAGUCGAACGGAAAGGCCCUGCUUUUGUGGGGUGCUCGAGUGGCGAACGGGUGAGUAACACGUGAGUAACCUGCCCUUGACUUUGGGAUAACUUCAGGAAACUGGGGCUAAUACCGGAUAGGAGCUCCUGCUGCAUGGUGGGGGUUGGAAAGUUUCGGCGGUUGGGGAUGGACUCGCGGCUUAUCAGCUUGUUGGUGGGGUAGUGGCUUACCAAGGCUUUGACGGGUAGCCGGCCUGAGAGGGUGACCGGCCACAUUGGGACUGAGAUACGGCCCAGACUCCUACGGGAGGCAGCAGUGGGGAAUAUUGCACAAUAGGCGGAAGCCUGAUGCAGCAACGCCGCGUGCGGGAUGACGGCCUUCGGGUUGUAAACCGCUUUCGCCUGUGACGAGGCGUGAGUGACGGUAAUGGGUAAAGAAGCACCGGCUAACUACGUG
rnacentral:rRNA from 1 species